rnacentral:pre_miRNA from 1 species
AGUAAGAUAGCUGGGUCAAAUGGUGGUUCCAUUCCAAGUUUUCUGAGGAAUCUCCAUACUGCUUAACGUACUGGUUACACCAAUUUGCAGUCCCACCAGCAAU